rnacentral:rRNA from 1 species
CAAGCGAAAGCAUUAAGUAUUCCACCUGGGGAGUACGCCGGCAACGGUGAAACUCAAAGGAAUUGACGGGGGCCCGCACAAGCGGAGGAACAUGUGGUUUAAUUCGAUGAUACGCGAGGAACCUUACCCGGGCUUAAAUUGCACCUGAAUAAUGUGGAAACAUGUUAGCCGUAAGGCAGGUGUGAAGGUGCUGCAUGGUUGUCGUCAGCUCGUGCCGUGAGGUGUCGGCUUAAGUGCCAUAACGAGCGCAACCCUUAUCUUCAGUUACUAACAGGUCAUGCUGAGGACUCUGGAGAGACUGCCGUCGUAAGAUGUGAGGAAGGUGGGGAUGACGUCAAAUCAGCACGGCCCUUACGUCCGGGGCUACACACGUGUUACAAUGGGAGGUACAGAAGGCCGCUACCUGGCGACAGGAUGCCAAUCCCCAAAACCUCUCUCAGUUCGGAUCGAAGUCUGCAACCCGACUUCGUGAAGCUGGAUUCGCUAGUAAUCGCGCAUCAGCCAUGGCGCGGUGAAUACGUUCCCGGGCCUUGUACACACCGCCCGUC